rnacentral:lncRNA from 1 species
UAGAUCAUCUGUGGUAUGUGAACCCCCCCCCUUUCUCUCUCUCUCUCUCUCUAUCUCUCUCUGUUACAUUUCACUGUUGGGCUUCUUUACAUAUUCUCUGCUAUGGGUUAGAAGCCAAAGGGAACAGCCAUGAACGUACAGUUCGACCUCACCAUCAAUGCGCCACAGCGAUUGCAAUCCAUCCCUCAGCGUGUCACGAGGUGCGCCGGCCAGCUUGCUCUGGAUCGAGCCCAGAAUCCCACCCGUCAAACUGCAGCUGUUCUCCCACGGUCUCAGUAGGUGUUGCAGCUCCAUCUGCCGCUGCCAUUAAUGCAUGGAAGCAUAGGCUGAGGGCAGCACAUCAUAGAAGAUGGACUUCCUCCUCUCGGGGAUGAAUGGUGAUGGAUCAUUCCGAAGAAACCGAGUGGAAUUAGGUCAUCCGGUGGAGCUUUGUAAACCUCCAACCGUAGUCUUCAAUGGAGAAGCCUCUGGUUUUUGUUUUUGCUUG